GCAAGCUUCUGUUGUACGAUAGCAAACGUGUUCAGCGACCAGCGUUACGAUGUCUACUGCGAAAUUCUCCGUCAUCCUAAUGCUCACACUCACAGUCACGUUAAUGAAUGUUUCUCGGAGUUGGGGGAAACCUCCGAAACGUGGAGGUCCAAUGAGAUCUCCUCCGGGACCACCCGCGUGCGAUGUCAGAAGGCAAUGUCAAACAAAUGUCCCACUUGCGUGCGGCAUGGGCUGUUACUGCGCAAAAAACAUGCACGGCUUCGGAAAUAAGGGCCUGUGCGCGCCAAUUAAAAAUGGAUAAUUGCUUUGCUAAUGACCAAAAGUGAACGAAUAAAGU